AGAAUUUCAAUUAUUCCAAUGAUUUAAUUUGUCUCUUUUUCUAUCAACUCAUUUUUCGCGCUUUCACUUGUAUCUUAUUCUUUUUAUGGAUCUUGAUUGGAAUCGAUACUUUUUGAGUCUAAGGUCAAAUCAGUGAAUUUGGUUGAUUAAAUUUUCUAAUUUCUUGUUAAUUAAAUUGUUCCUUUGGUCCUAAAUUAAAAUGAUCUCUGCUGCCCGGAGUUUAUUAACUGUCGCUCGACGAUCCCCACAACAGAUUAGGCUUUGUCAUGAGGGUUUCACCUACAAAGGAGAAAAUUUACCAUUCAGCAUCAAGAAUCGGCGACUAUUUGCUGUCAAGUUUAUCUUGUACUGUUCGUUACCCGUUUGGAUACCAUUUUUAAUCAUGAGAUUCAAUCUGAUCAAAAUGCGUUAAUCUAAUAAUGUCAGUAAACAAAAAGGAAUCACCAACAUUUUUGAGCAAAAUCUCAGCUCAUCAUCUAAUAGAUUCUCUCCUGAUUUUGUUUUAACAAUACUUAGUUACCUGAUUAUCAUGGAGGAAGAAAAUAAAGAUGUAUAUUAAUCUUUUGUUGUUUAAAGAAAUAAAUGUAGCUAAGUGAA